ensembl:snRNA U6 U6 spliceosomal RNA
GCGCUCACUUUGGCAGCACAUAUACUGAAAUUGGAAGGAUACAGAGAAGAUUAGCGUGGAUGCAAGGAUGACAUGCAAAUUCGUGAAGCAUUCCACAUUAAA